AAUUCCUUCACUUUUCCCUUCUCACUCUCUCUCUUAUUUCAUUUUCUCUCUCUACAGAUUUCUUCUCACCUCACUUCUCUCUCCUAAAUAGCCUCUAUGAAUUAUCAAAAAUCAGGAGCAGCAGAACUAAUAUCAGCGAUGGCAAUUUUACCCCUAGAAGUAUCGGACUCGCAAUCGCUCAAGCUGAGAAACCCCUUCACUAAGCUCAUCGAAAAAUCAAGGUGUUAUGUUAUGCAAAUGAGAUUCAAUUUUAGGUGACGGGUAUUAUUCGAGUUAUGACUUUAACAAACUAAGCUGAUCUCUAUUUAUGUAUGGAUGAUAAAAAUUUUGAUUUUUAUUAGUGUUGGGAUAGUAAAACUGAAGAACAACGUAUGGGCUAAUUUGGGGCAGUUUCUCUAAAUUUCGAUUACUCUGUUGCUCAAGUUUUGGGAAAACAAAGCAUGAUAUUGAUCCGACAGCUGAAUGGGGGGAAACUGGACUCGAAGAGUCUAUGUGGAGAUUGGGUCUUUCAGGUCGAGAGACGUACCCAGAACGGCCUGGUGUAUCUGAUUGUGUCUAUUACAUGCGUACUGGAUUCUGUGGAUUUGGUACCCGUUGGCCGCGGUUAUGAAAGCUCUUGGCCAUUCGAAUCUUCAUGAGAUUUCUUACACCGUUCAAUCUCAUCACAAAUAGGGGAGUAACUCAUCAAAAUCUGACUUCAUCAACCGAUGGAAAUCUUCGUCUCGAGGGGGCUAACUUCUCGAUCGUUUGGAUGAAUCUGUGUGGGUACAUGGGGCUUUAAACAGUAUUCGUGGAUUAUGAGCUGCUGCUUUCUGUGUUUAUGCUUUUCUCAUUUUUAAUUAUGUACAAAAUUGGAAGGAUGAGUUUGGCUACAUUUUAGCUUGACAUUUUGAAGCAAAGUAAAGUAAAAAAAUUCAGGCAUGAGAUUUGAUCCUGAGGCAAGGACAGCUGAUUUCGACAGGUAAGCUGUAAUUGAAAAUGAUCAUAAUUCGUAUUUUUGGUCUACUAAAUGCUUUGUUAAAUUUCAGAGCAAAAGAGGAGAUUGAGGAGGAGGAACGAGUUCAAGCUCUUCACCCUCUUAUGGAGUGUGCAAUGUAGAUUUUCAGGUUUUGAGUUUGAUUUUAUGUGGAAACCAUCCGUUAACCUGUAAAACAAUUGUUGACCUUGUAAUUCAUAUUAUAAAUUUAUAAUUCUCUGUAGCUUUCAAGUAAUUACAAGUUUUUCUGGCAGUUGAAUGACCAAUGAGUACUUUUCUCAAUUUCUUGAAGUAUGACCCAAAUUGGAGGCCUGCCAUUGACGAGGAAGGAGGUGAGAAUGAUACAUUGAUUGCGUCUGACUUCAAUGGAGUGCAAACUGUUCAGUCUUACUAAAGUUUAGGUUUGUCAUUGGUGAAACAUUGGCUAUAAUUAAGUUAUUAAGGCAUGCGUUCAUUGUAUCCAUGAAAGCUGAGGUUUGGAACUUUGAGUUGGAUACGGGCAAUAUCAGCUUGUUUCAUGAUUUAAAGAAUGGUAAAACUCCACCAUCAGCUUUUGGAAGCAUUGUUAAAAAUAUCCUCUACUUAGCUAGACUUUGCCAUUUUGUUUCUUUUUCUUUUGUUAAAUAUAAAGGCAAUGUAGUGGCACAUUGUCUAGCCAAAUUAAGUAGUACUUUUACUAAGACUCAAGUGUGGCUUGAGGAAUAUCCUCAUGAAAUACAAGGGAAGGUUUGUAGUGACAUUGUAUGGUCUUGAUGGGAGAAUACCUGAAAUCUUAUAAACGGGGGAAGACAUUGCGUGAUCCCCACUCAGCAUCGAUCACCAAAUUAAUAAUAACUCUUUAUUAAUUGUUUUA